rnacentral:lncRNA from 1 species
CCCCUCUAUGGGGUAAACAACCCAGUCAGCUGACCCCGGUUGCCACGGCAACGAGCAUGAGCAAGGGCCUUCCCAUGAGCCGAGCGUUGGCCCCGUCCCACCCCACAGCAGGACAGGAGAUCACCCAGUCCAACCCCUGCCAGAGCAGGGCCACCCAGAGCAGGUCCCACAGGAACGUCUCCAGGUGGGGUUUGAAUGUCUCCAGAGAAGGAGACUCCACCACCUCCCUGGGCAGCCUCUGCCAGGGCUCUGCCACCCUCACAGGAAAGAAGUUCCUCCUCAUGUUCAGAUGGAACUUCUUAUGUUCAAGUUUGUGCCCCUUUCCUCUUGUCCUGUCACUGGGCACCACUGAAACAAGACCGGCCCCAUCCUCCUGACACCCACCCUUUAAGUAUUUCACAGAAUCACGGAAUUGUCAGAGUUGGAAGGAACCUUCUAGAGACCCUCCAGUCCAACUCCCCAGCCAGAGCUGGGCUGUCCAGAGCACAUCACUCAGGAGCAUCCAGGUGGGGCUUGAAGAUCUCCAGAGAAGGGGACUCCACACCCUCCCUGGGCAGCCUCUGCCAGGGCUCUGCCACCCUCACCCCAAAGAAGUUCUUCCUCACAUUGGAGUGGAACUUCCCAUGUUCCAGCUUGUGCCCGUUGCCCCUCGUCCUGUCCCUGGGAACCACUGAGAAGAGUCCAGCUCCAUCCUCCCUCAACCCACCCUUUAGAUCCUUGGAAGCAUUAAUAAGGUCUCCCCUCAGCCUUCUCUUCUCUAGGCUGAAGAGUCCCAGCUCUCUCAGCCUUUCCUCAUCAGGGAGAUGCUCCCCCUCAGUUAUCUUUGUUGCUCUACGUUGGACUCUCUCUCCAGCAGUUCCCUGUCUCUCUUGGACUGAGGAGCCCAGAACUGGACGCAGGAUUCCAGCUGUGGCCUCACCAGUGCAGAGCAGAGGGGGAGAAUGACCUCCCUUGAGGCCCCUAUUUAUAGGCGUUGAUCAGACCCCCCUCAGUCUUCUCCAGGCUAAAAAGACCCAAGUCCCUCAGCCUCUC